CCCUUAGAUGUUCUGGGCCGCACGCGCGCUACACUGACGAAUGCAACGAGCUUAUAACCUUGGCCGAAAGGUCUGGGUAAUCUCCAAAUUUCGUCGUGAUGGGGAUAGAUUAUUGCAAUUAUUAAUCUUCAACGAGGAAUGCCUAGUAAGCGCAAGUCAUCAGCUUGCGUUGAUUACGUCCCUGCCCUUUGUACACACCGCCCGUCGCUCCUACCGAUCGAGUGAUCCGGUGAAUGUUUUGGAUCGGUUGCAAGUUGCGCGACGCGCUUCUUGCAUGCUGUGAAAUCAUGUAAGCCUUAUUGCUUAGAGGAAGGAGAAGUCGUAACA
rnacentral:rRNA from 1 species